rnacentral:rRNA from 1 species
UGGGGAAUAUUGCACAAUGGGGGAAACCCUGAUGCAGCGACGCCGCGUGAAGGAAGAAGUAUCUCGGUAUGUAAACUUCUACCAGCAGGGAAGAAAAUGACGGUACCUGACUAAGAAGCCCCGGCUAACUACGUGCCAGCAGCCGCGGUAAUACGUAGGGUGCGAGCGUUAAUCGGAAUUACUGGGCGUAAAGGGUGCGCAGGCGGUUGAGUAAGACAGAUGUGAAAUCCCCGAGCUUAACUCGGGAAUGGCAUAUGUGACUGCUCGACUAGAGUGUGUCAGAGGGAGGUGGAAUUCCACGUGUAGCAGUGAAAUGCGUAGAUAUGUGGAAGAACACCGAUGGCGAAGGCAGCCUCCUGGGACAUAACUGACGCUGAUGCUCGAAAGUGUGGGUAUCAAACAGGAUUAGAUACCC